rnacentral:rRNA from 1 species
UACGGAGGGUGCGAGCGUUGUUCGGAAUCACUGGGCGUAAAGGGCGUGUAGGCGGUCCGCUAAGUCUGAUGUGAAAGCCCGGGGCUCACCCCCGGAAGGGCAUUGGAAACUGACGGACUCGAGUCCCGAAGAGGAGGGUGGAAUUCCUGGUGUAGCGGUGAAAUGCGCAGAUAUCAGGAAGAACACCAAUGGCGAAGGCAGCUCUCUGGGACGGUACUGACGCUGAGACGCGAAAGCGUGGGGAGCGAACAGG